rnacentral:rRNA from 1 species
CAAGCCACCGCUCUGAACAUAAUAGCAUGGGAUAACACGACAGGACUCUGGCCUAUCGUGUUGGUCUGUAGGACCGGAGUAAUGAUUAACAGGACCAGUCGGGGGCACUCGUAUUCCGCCGUCAGCGGUGAAAUGCUCGGAUCGGCGGAAGACGAACAUYUGCGAAAGCAUUUGCCAAGGAUGUUUCCAUUGAUCAAGAACGAAAGACGGGGGCGCGAAGAUGAUUAGAUACCAUYGUAGUYUYGUCCAUAAACGAUGCCGACUAGGGAUUGGCGGAAGUUCUUUUGAUGACUCCGCCAGCMCCUCAUGAGAAAUCAAAGUUUUUGGGUUCACGGGGGAAUAUGGUCGCAAGGCUGAAACUUAAAGAAAUUGACGGAAGGGCMCCMCAAGGCUUGGAGCUUGCGGCUUAAUUUGACUCAACMCGGGAAAACUUACCAGGUCCAGACAUGGGAAGGAUUGACAGAUUGAGAGCUCUUUCUUGAUUCUAUGGGUGGUGGUGCAUGGCCGAUYUUAGUUGGUGGGUUGCCUUGUCAGGUUGAUUCCGGUAACGAACGAGACCUCAGCCUGCUAAAUAGGGCCGCUCGCCCCGGCGGGCAGGAACCUUCUUAGAGGGACUGUCGGCGUCUAGCC